ACGUGGGGGUGGUGGUGGGGGGAGGGGGUGGAUUGUUGUUGCUGUUUUGUAUUUAACCUCGAAAAGCGAAAAGGAAAGGGGGGGAAAAAAAACCCCAAAGGGCAAAGGACGACAGAGGGCAGCGUCUCCUCUGACGCUUUAUAUAUAUAUAUAUAUAUAUAUAUAUAAACACUUACAUAUAUAUAUAUAUAUACACACACACGUAUAGAAGUAAGUGGCUGCAAAUAAUACCAGGGCACAGCAGUGAAGUGCUGGAGAGGCGGUGGGGGGGGAUGGAGAGUGAGAAGUACUUGCCUGAGCUAAUGGCCGAGAAAGACAGUCUGGAUCCUUCCUUUGUCCAUGCUGCCCGCCUGGUGAGCGCAGGUGACAAUAAUAGUGCGGCAUUGGCACGAAGAAAGAUGCAUCCGAAAUUGCCAUCCUCUGCAGGAAGGCUGUUGACUUCUGCGUUGGGAGCAUUGCCAUCUACAGAUUCAACCCAGAGAGAGAUAACCAAAAUGGAAGGAGGAGAGGAAAUAGAUGAAGAGAAGUUUGUCGAUGUGGUCAGCAACAAAAACAUGAAGUUAUCUCAGAAAGUGUUAAUUCCCGUGAAACAGUUUCCCAAGUUCAACUUUGUGGGAAAACUCUUGGGCCCACGUGGGAACUCUUUGAAGAGGUUACAGGAGGAAACGCUGACAAAAAUGUCCAUCUUGGGGAAAGGCUCCAUGAGGGACAAAGCAAAGGAAGAGGAGCUGAGGAAGGGUGGAGAAACCAAGUAUACACACCUGAAUGAAGACCUACACGUUCUGAUUGAGGUGUUUGCCCCACCGUCAGAGGCCUACGCGAGGAUGGGACAUGCUCUGGAGGAAGUCAAAAAGUUUCUCAUCCCGGAUUACAAUGAUGAAAUUCGACAACAGCAACUUCAGGAAUUGUCUUACCUGAACGGCGCCCCGGAAACUCCCGAAACUCCAGCUGUGCGAGGGAAACCAGUGCGGGGCCGCGGAGCUCUCACACCAGCUCUAACAAGGGGCCGCGGAGGUGUCCCACCCCCCACGGCUGCUGUCCCACGAGGGGGACCAGCCCCCAGAGGAGCGCUGGCCGGUCGGGGUCUUGUCGUCAGGGGCCGUGGGGCCCCAGCACCUAGAGCAAGAGGAGCGCCAGGAUACAGACCUCCACCCCCUCCCGCUCAGGACACCACCUAUGGGGAAUAUGCCUAUGGUGAUGGCUAUGGAGCCACCUAUGAAGAGCACGGUUACGACACCUAUGAAAACAACUACAGUAACCAAGGACAGAGUGCCUCUGAUUAUUACGAUUAUGCUCACGGAACAAGUCAGGAGUCGUACGAUUCAUAUGGUCAGGAAGAGUGGACGAACUCCAACAUCCAACGGAUGAAAGCCCCCCCGACACGAGCAGCGAAAGGAGCUUUCAGGGAACACCCUUAUGUACCCCGUUACUGACCCCAGCAGCCACUUUGUGAAAUACAGUCAUCAGUUAGCUGUUCCUACAGUGAUGAAUGUCCCGACGUGUCUGGGGAGAGAGGGGAGUGAAGUCAGUGGCCCUGAGGUUGGGCGGAAACAGCAGGAGGACUGAGGUGGCCGGGGUUGAAGGGAAGCUGUGGUUGUACUGUGGCUGGUCACAGGAGCCGGGUCAACACGGCAAAGGCUCGAUCAAGGUCCGACUCCCGGGUGGACUGGAUGCUUUAUCAUUUGUAAAAUCACCGCUCAAUUGUAAAUAUUUUUUU